UACGUAGGGGGCAAGCGUUGUCCGGAUUUAUUGGGCGUAAAGAGCGCGUAGGCGGCUAGCUAAGUCCGGUGUGAAAGUCUCAGGCUCAACCUGUGAAGGCCGCUGGAAACUGUCUGGCUAGAGUCCGGAAGGGGCGAGUGGAAUUCCUGGUGUAGCGGUGAAAUGCGCAGAUAUCAGGAGGAACACCGGUGGCGAAGGCGGGUCUCUGGGCCGAUACUGACGCUGAGGAGCGAAAGCGUGGGGAGCGAACAGG
rnacentral:rRNA from 1 species